rnacentral:lncRNA from 1 species
GGCUAUGUAAAAAUGGCUUCCGUGUCAUAGAAAUGUUAAUGUCUCCAGAGACCAUUCUCCCUUGGCGGCCAAUCUUAAUUUAUUUUCUCGUGUCCCUAAUGAAAAAAUGGGAGCUGGAAGAGUGUGACCUCCCUCCACCCCACUUCAGAUUUACUUGUAAAUUAAAACACUUACUUCAAGAAGUUUGUAGGAAUGCAAUUCUUAGGAUUACAUACUUUUUCUAAUAUUCACAUUAUCAGAAAUUUUGAAACUCAGGAAAAAAUGAGGUGGAUUAGUGUGUCUAAUUUCCCCUUAAAUUUGGAAAAACUAUUACAAGAGAUGUGUGUAUAAUGUGGCAGAUUAAUUUAGUGAGUGGCAACAGGUGACAUGGUUUCUUUUCUUAAAUAUUGUCAUUUUCUUAAAGUGUGGUUUAUGAUUGAAUUUAUGCUUAAUAUUUUUCCUGGAUAGUAAUAUCUUAUAAUGACAGUUUAACAAAACAGAAGCUAUGCUUGCUUGCUAGAGAACCAGGCCAGGGAGCAGGCAGUAAAUAAAAUGCCAGGGAGCAGGCAGUAAAUAAAAGGGCAGCCCAGGUUCCAGGAGGCAGCAAACUCUUCUGCUUUAACUGACAGUUUUUCAGGUCUGUCAACCUGUGAUUUUUAUUAUUCUUUGAACUUUGAGAGUUUUGUAAGAUAUCAUUAUAGAAAGCACUUACUUAUGCUUAAAUUAGGAUGGCAUUAAUAAGCACAAAUCCAGUAAAAAUAAGUUGCCUAUGGUGAACUUAGAGUAAAACACUAAUUCAAUAGUUUUGAGUCCUGUACUUGUAUUUGAUAGGUUCAUACCUCUAAAGUCAUGUAGCUAAAUAGUGUUGGACUAAAGAUUUAGGGCCUCUUCAAAAUUUUUUUGAAGCAAUUAUAUUUGAAUAUUGUGUUCUACUGUAUACUGUGGAGAAUCUGGUUUUGAUGAUUUAAAUGAGGAUAGUUGGAUUAGAUUAGUAACAGGGCAUUGUUAAUUAAGUGGUAAGGUAGAGGAGUGACUACAUGGUAUCCUUAUCUGAACUGUAAUGAAAGUGAUUGAAAUAUAUAUUUGGAAAGAUCUUAAUUAGGGUAGAGAUACUAUACCAGAGUUUUGUGUGUGUGUGUGUGUGUGUGUGUGUGUGUGUGUGUGUGUAUGUAUAUGUAUGUAUACGUACGUGCAUGUGUGUGUGUGUGUGUGUGUGUGUGUGUGUAUGUGUAUUAUUUGCAUAGUCAUUUUUGAAAUACAAAGUCAAAUUACAGUUUUUAGAGAACUUCAUUGAUGAGUGAGUUUAAAUACAUGAAAUUUUAGAGCAAGGAGAAAGAAUGUGUUUCGGCAGAUUUGCAUUUGCAUUUUCAGUGGAGGCAAACAUGUUCCUCACCUUUGUAUGAACGGGACUACUUCUCUCUUAAGUGUGUUCAUUAGUUCCUGGAACCCCUCUACCAAAAAGAUCUAUUGACAUAUAAAGCCUAUCUUUAUUGGGAGAAAAAUAGUAGGGACUUUUGAGUUGAUUGCAGACAUGAAGACAGGGAAUGCCAAGAAACCCCCCCCCCCCCCUGAGAGGUAACCUCAUCAGCUGGGAACUGUGAGAUUUAGGAAAAGUUUUGAUUAGAAGUAGAUUCUAUUUCAACAUUUCCAACACUUGUUUUUUCUUUUUUAAAGGAAUGGACUAAGAAAAAGACUUUGUACAGAAGUAUGUAAUAGAAAGUAAAUAUACAUUUUAAAGCUAUUUUACAAAUUGUUUUAUAAACCCUAACUAGUAUAGAGGAUGAUGUCUUACAUGAAACAAAAUGCUGAAAAUUUGAGUCUCUACUAUUGGGAACUUAAGGAUACAUCCUUAUUAAUUAAUGAAUGGAUGGAUCACUGGGUAUUUGGCAGAGUCCUUUUUCCCCCUUUAAAAACAAAAAAACAGAUUUGAACAAUAAAAUGCCCACUUGACCCAGAUAGAAGUAGGUGAAGUGUUUGGUUUCAUUUGUCACAGCUACUGAAGGAAUCAAGGAGCAUGUUGCAGAACCACGCAGAGUGGUACUUUUGGUCAAAUUCCUUUUUGCCUGAGUAGUAGCACAUUCCAAGUCCUGUUGCUUCUCUUCUGACAUGCCUGCGGUUUUCAUUACUGCCUGCCCAGUGUACAUUCUAGAACGUGGUCACCAUGAGCCAGGGCUGGGGAGGGAUUGGUGCUGCUCAGGCUGAAAAGGAAAGUAGGUAGAGUUCCUCUAGGACAGAGAUUCUCAGGAUGUCGGUUUUGACCAACACUUUGGGGGCCAAAUGACCCUUUCACAGGGGUCACCUAAGACCAUUGGAAAACAAUCAUAUUUAUAUUAUAAUUUAUAACCGUAGCAAAAUUACAGUCAUGAGGUAAUGAAAAGAAUUUGAUGUUGGGGUGGGGGUGGGGUCACAAUACCUAAUAAAGGGUUAGAGCAUUAGGAAGGUUGAGAACCACUGCUUUGUAGGAUUACUUUGUUGUUGUGCUCUGGCUGGCUGGGACUCACUAUGUAGAACAGACUGGCUUCAAAUUCAUAGAAAUUCACUUGCCUCUACCUCCAGAGUGCUGGGAUUAAAGGGAUACACCAUCACUUACAAUUUUUUUUUUUUUAAACAAGAUCUCAUUCCAUGACCCAGAAAAAUAUUCCAGUUCAUGCUCAUGAGUUUCAGUAAAAACUAAAGUAAUGGUGGUUAACAACCUGUAAGACUUGUGUUUUAUUUUUUUAUCUAUUUAUUAUUUUUUGAUACAGGGUUUCUCUGUGUAGCCCUGGUUGUCCUGGAACUCACUCAACCUAUAAGACUAACCUGUGCUUUUUUUCCCAUUGGUCACUUUCCUGUAUCAUAUUGCUUAUUUUCUAUGUUCUGUAAGACUUAGUUAUUAGACGUUACAUUCACAGAAAAUGAAAUAUAUAGGCUAAUGCCAAACUGAUGGUUUUUUUUGUUUUUGUUUUUUGUUUUUGGUUAAUUCUCAUGUUAAAAUAACAUUAAAAUGUACUGUAUUUUCCUUUUUAUAUAAACAAUUCACAUAGACC